GCGCAGUCCGCUGGGCAGAGGCUUGGGCCGCCGAGCUGGACCCGGACCGGUUUUGGGCACCAUGAUGAGUGAUGUAGCUCUCCUGCUGCCAGCUUACCUAUCAUCGGCUGUAACACGCCCUCGGCAAUUUUAAUGAGCUGCUGGUAGAUCUGAAUGGAAAGGUCACUCAGCACCUGACGGUAUUCGGUGAGGUCAAAAUUCUUAAGACAGUGUUCAUUCU
rnacentral:lncRNA from 1 species